AAGGACUUCUCAGGCGUGGAAGGGGCCGUGUGUGCAAAGGCGGGAGGUCAGAGGACGCUGCAUCUGACCGCACGGCCACCUCUGCUUUGGCAGGACACCCAGGGCUGGCCCGACCCACCCCUGAAAGCAGCUGCCAGGAAAACAGGUGUGCAAAGGACCAGAAAUCAACAUUCUUCUGACAUAUAACUGGAAAGUCAAGUACAACUUUAUUCAACAGAUAUAUGUAAAUAAAUAAGUAGAACAAAGCAGCAGACAAGCCCUAGGGCCACCUGUCUGCAAGAUGCAGUCUUAGGAUCGCAGGCGUCUCCACCAAACCUUCUGGGGAAAGAGAAAAGCUCAUGCAGGGGUGGCAGAAGGAAAUGCGCACCCGAGUGGAUCGGAAGCUGAGGACGCUCCUCCCAGGCACUUACACGCCUGCAGGUAGGUGGAUGCACAACCCCCAGAUGGCAGAGACUCAGCAUGCACGCUGGGAAAUCCUCAGGGAAGCCGGUUCACCGAUGUCCCAGGGGAAACCACAGCCAAUUUGGACCGCUGCCUAUAAAUCUGAUAUCUCUCUUCCUUUGGCAUCCCUCCCCUGCAUUUCAAUAAUCUUCCUCACACAGUAGUUUUAAAACAUUUUUUUCUGUAUUUCCAAGUUGUCUGUUACGAAAAUGUGCUACUUUCGUAAUUAGAGACUAAAUGUCGUUUUUAAAAUAUUUUUUAUGGUGGUAAAAUAUAUGUUUAUGUUGUGUGACAUAAAAGUUACCACUUGAUUUUUAAGUGUAUGAUUCAGUGGCAUUAAGAAUAUUCACGAUGUUGUGUAACCGUCAUCAUUGUCUAUUUCCAGAACUUGUUUUUCAUCUUCCCAAACAGAGACUCCGUGUCCAUUGAACAAGAACUCCCCAUUCCUCCCUCCCCACUUGUGACCUUUAUUCUACUUUCUGUCUCUAUGAAUUGGCCCAUUCUAGGGACCUCACACAAGUGGAAUCAUACGACGUUUGUCCUUUUGUGUCUGGCUUAUUUCACUUAGCAUCAUGUUUGCAAAGUGCAUCCACGUUGUGGUGUGUGUCAGAAGUUCAUUAUUAUGGUUGAAUAAUAUUCCACUGUAUGGAUAUACCAUAUUUUGUUUAUCCCUCCCUCUGUCCAUGCGGGCUUGGGUUGCUUCCGUCAUUCGGUUAUUGUGUAACGCUGAACCUUGGUGUGUAGUAUCUGCUGAGUCCUGCUUUCAGUUCUUUGGGGUAUAUGCCUAGGGGUGGAAUUGCUGGAUCAUCUGGUAAUUUCAUGUUUAACUUUUUGAGGAACGGCCAAACUGUUUUUCACAGCAACUGCAUGACUAAAUGUCAUUUAGAAAAGAAAACAUUCAUCUUCAUAUCGUUAAGCUGUCAAUACUAUUCAAAGUGGUCUACAGAUUCAGUGCAAUCCCUGUAAGAAUCCCAAUAACUUUUUUUGUAGAAAUAGAAAAAUCCAUCCUAAGAUUCAUAUAGAAUUUCAAGGGACCCUGAAUAGAGCAAAGUCGCUCUCACGGUUCCUGAUUUCAAAACUUACUGCAAAGCCACAGCCAUCUCCAAGGCGGACAUAUGGACCAAUGGAGCAGAAUAGAGAGCCCAGGAAUAAAACCUUGCAUAUAUGGGCAAAUGAUUUUCAACAAGAGUGCCAAGAGCAUUCAGUGGGGAAAGGACAGUCUUUUUAACAAAUGGCGCUGGGAAAACUGGAUAUCCACAUGCAAAAGAAUGAAAUUGGACCCUUAUCUAACACAAUAUAUAAAAAUCACCUCAAAAUGGACCUAAACAUAAGAGUUAAAAUUAUGAAACGAUUAGAAGAAAACAUUGGGGGGAAAACUUCAUUAUAUUGAAUUUGGCAAUCAUUUCUUGCAUAUGAUGCCAAAAGCACUGGCAACAAAAGAAAAAAAUAAAUUGGACUUCGUCAAAAUUAAAAACUUUCGUUUCAAAGAAUACUAUCAAUGGAGUGAAAAGGCAACUCAUGGAAUGGGAGAAAAUAUUAGCAAAUCGUACAUCUAAUAAGAGAUUAAUACCCAGAAUAUUUAAAGAACCCCUCCAACGCAACAGCAACAAAAAACAAACAACCUGAUUAAAAAAUGGGCAAAGGACUUGAAUCGGCAUUGGUUGGGCUGAUCUUUGGCUCUGAGCAUUCUGGCUUUUCCCCGUGACUGAUGCUUCUCUGAGGCGGAGGUGGCUGGCAGGAAAGGAUGCCCGACUUUCCCAACAGGCUGAGUGUACCUUGCUUCCUGGCGGUGGGCUGGAGGCUUUGAAAGAAACGUGAGAACCCAGAGACAGCUGGGUGGGCUCCUCCCAUCCGCCUUCCCACGGCCGGCCGGGCCCAGCUUCAGCUUCAGGCUCCCCUCGGGGCUCCCGUGUCUCCCACCCCCAGCUGCAGGAAUGGCUGAGUCACCCAGGCCCGGGCUGCCAGCCCUGGAAUCUGAGCAGGCCUCUGCUGUCCCCAGCUUGGUGCACCGACUCCCUGGGAAGUCACCAGACAUAUUGGACUAGGGCCCACCCAUACGACCUCAUCUUAACUUAGUCACUUCUUUAAAGACCCCAUCUUUGAAUACAGUCACGUCCUGAGGUUACGGGGGUUCGGGCUUCAACAUAUGGAUUUGAGGAGACACACUUCAGCCCAUAGCACUGCCCCUAAUCUGACACUUGAAUCCCACUACGAUGCCUCUGGCAAGGGCCGCCCAGCCUCGGCUUGCACACCUCCGGUGGCAGAGAGCUCUGUACCUCCCAAGAUGAUAAAAGUGACUUCUAGCGGGUGGCUAGUGUCCCACGUGGAGGCUGGAUCCUUUUGGCCCCCAAGAAAUGGAGAAGGCCAUUUCACAGUCUUGAACUUUUCAAAACAGGUUGGUUUCUCCCUAAACGGCAAGAGAGCUUGCUUGUCCUGGGAGACAAAUUCAAAGGCAGACUCCGCUGGUGGAGUCGUCUGUAUGUUGUUAUCGGCCUCGAGCAGCGGUGGCUUCGGACCACCCCAGCAACGUCGACGCCUUGUUUGCCCAGAUAAAUGUCACGUCUGCUCCCAAAGGAGCCUAUAAAAAAGCCACUUUGGGAGUAGGGGAUGGUUUUAGGGGUGGCCACUUCGAAACUGGAAAUUAUUUUCUUCCCCACCCAAAAGAGUUGGAUUGUUCUUGUGUGACCCCAGCCAGAUGGCGAGAGGGUGUCACUAGGGACAUGCAGAUAAAGUCUUACACGAUUCAGUUUGGCUUUAAAAUCCAUUCUCAGAGCUCAGCAAAUGAAGCCUUUUUUUUUUUUUUUACCCUGACGUCAUUCUAUUUUUCCUUAAAAUUUUUUUCACAUUACAAACAUAAUACGUGUUUCUUGUAGACAGUAUGGAAAAUAUGGUACGACAUAAAGAAGAAAACAAUGAUCUUUACUUCUGUCACCAGAAACAGUCUCUGUUAACACUUUGAUGCAUUUCUUGCAUUUCUCUCUCUCAAUGGGGCUAUACCUUAAAAAAAAAAAAGGUUGCCUGGUAUGUCUCACACCCACGAGAUCUGACUGAUGGAGCUGUACACGAGACAGACAAGGCCCACCCUCUUGGAGCUCACUGUCUACAUGGGAGACAGAAAAUCAAAUAUAAAUGAGCUUUCGGGUUGUUUCCAGUUUUCCUGUUACAAACAAGAGUGCAGUGGGCAUUGUGAGAGCCAAGUGUCUGAAAACACACAUAUUGAUUGCAUCAGGAUAACUUUCUAUCAUUGGAAUUUAUGAGACAGGGAUUUUCGUGUUAUUAAAAAAACUGCGAUGGUCAUCUUUAUGCAUACUUGUGUUAAUAUUGUGUUGAUAUUAUCUGAUAAAUACUUUCUCUGCCUGCAUUAGACAAUUCUCAAUUACAGGCCCAGAGAUUCUCUGCAACAGAAGGGAUUCUGCAGCCUUCCUGUCUAGGCUAACCCCUCAUCCCACUCCAGUAUCCAGCUUACAUGCCCCCAGGGACAGAGAGCUCAUUUCUCCCUCAGGGGGUUCAUUCCACCCCUGCAUGCCUCUGCCCUGGGAAACGUUCCCCUAUACUGAAAAGAAAUUGGUCCUCCUGGGCUUCCACCACUCACCCUGGUUCUUGAGACCAUGCAGAGCAAAUCCAGGCCCCACCUCAUCUUUGCAAAGACCCUGCUGAGCUUGUGGCCAGCUCCACGUCCCCUCAGAGGUCCGUCCUGCACGUGCACAGCUCCCAUGGCUCCCGCUCCCUGCUGAUGGCAGUUCCUUUCUUGGGACACCACCCAGGGAUUACUUCACCUCCCCCGGGGUGCCUUCCCUGACCAGCCCUCCCCCAGGAGCCCCUGCGCCCCCUCCAUGGAAGCACCUGUCGCUUUUAUUGCCUCUCUCCUUCGCAGGGCGGCUUCAGCUCCAUCUCUGCAUCCAGUGGGCGCCGGAUAAAAACCUGUUGAACAAACAAAUGGAGGGUGAGAUUCCAGUGCCUGUAUCUUGG
rnacentral:lncRNA from 1 species